ensembl:lncRNA
UCUCAAGCAAAUAAAUUAUGAAAAAUAAAAUAACAAAGAUAAAUAAACACACCUGAGAGGGUCUCAAGGCAUUUCAGGGAUGGUGUUUUUAUGACAGCUAUAAAUAACAACAAACGCAAUUUCCCCCCCCACAUUUGUCGGAAAAAGCUGACCGGUUACAGACAUUGAUAACUACUACUGUAUAAAUGCUACAUAAAGGUGACAGCUGUUCAGUAAUGUUUUGAUGACAAGGGCAUUGGAGGACACUGCAACUGGUGCACAGGUCUGCACAUUGAGAAGCCAACAAACAAUCUGCAUUCACAAUAAAAUGAACAGGGGGAAUUAUGUGUGUGUGUGUGUGUGUGUGUUGUGUGUGUGCUGGGGGCGUGGGGUGGGGAAGGGUGGCCGUUUGAGCCUUCUAAAGCCCACCACUGCUUUUGUUUGACAACACAAAUGACAGCACGAUCUGAUGGUGUCGCACAAAGUCGAGCUGAGGUUCCUCCAAUGGACAGACAGGCAAGAGUGUGCUAAGCUCAGAUGAACAGGCAACAGCCUACAGAACUUCACUUCCCCUUUCACUUAUGCCCAUUAGCUGCGGGGCAACUUUAUCGCUUAGCAUCGCCAGUCACUGUAGAAGAGAGAUUUAGAUCAAAGGGCUGAGGUUUACAUCUACCAUCGUACUGCCAUUUCCUGUAGGUACCCGUGCCUGUGAAUCUGUCAGAGCAAACUAUACGGCCCACACACACUUCCUGGACACGGGCCGAAGUGCAUCAUGGUCCUGUGAGUGAGCAGGAGGAGUUUGGCACCUGUGGGGAGGUACUGACCGACAAUGUUGAACCCAUGAAAGGAUGUUUUUUUGGGGGAGGGGGGCACAGAGUGGUUAUGAUCAGGAACAGAGAAGAGACAGUGUACUUGAAAGAAAAAGUAAAACACCACACCCUACAAUUCCACAUCUGUAAAUAGUAUUAGAUAGAAACUCUGGAAACAGAUGAUAAUUACAGGUUCUCAAUGUACAAUAUAUGUCAGCCUUUUGUAGAAAACAGAUGCAUUCAGUUGAUUAAUUA